rnacentral:rRNA from 1 species
AGAGUUUGAUCCUGGCUCAGGAUGAACGCUAGCGGCAGGCUUAACACAUGCAAGUCGAGGGGCAGCGGGGAGGAAGCUUGCUUUCUCCGCCGGCGACCGGCGCACGGGUGAGUAACACGUAUGCAACCUGCCCCUGUCAGGGGGACAACCCGCCGAAAGGCGGGCUAAACCCGCGUACAUGCCACCGGGGCAUCCCGGAGGCAGGAAAGGCUUCGGCCGGACAGGGAUGGGCAUGCGGCGCAUUAGGCAGUAGGCGGGGUAACGGCCCACCUAACCGACGAUGCGUAGGGGUUCUGAGAGGAAGGUCCCCCACACUGGUACUGAGACACGGACCAGACUCCUACGGGAGGCAGCAGUGAGGAAUAUUGGUCAAUGGUCGGGAGACUGAACCAGCCAAGCCGCGUGAGGGAGGAAGGUACAGAGUAUCGUAAACCUCUUUUGUCAGGGAACAAAGGCGGGGACGUGUCCCCGGAUGAGUGUACCUGAAGAAAAAGCAUCGGCUAACUCCGUGCCAGCAGCCGCGGUAAUACGGAGGAUGCGAGCGUUAUCCGGAUUCAUUGGGUUUAAAGGGUGCGCAGGCGGGCCUUUAAGCCGGCGGUGAAAUCGCGGGGCUCAACCCCGCCGAGCCGUCGGAACUGGGGGCCUUGAGUGCGGCGGAGGCAUGCGGAAUGCGCGGUGUAGCGGUGAAAUGCAUAGAUAUCGCGCAGAACCCCGAUUGCGAAGGCAGCGUGCCGUGCCGCCACUGACGCUGAGGCACGAAAGCGCGGGGAUCGAACAGGAUUAGAUACCCUGGUAGUCCGCGCCGUAAACGAUGGAUGCUGGGUGUCCGGGGCGUUCAGGCCCUGGGUGCCGGAGCGAAAGCGGUAAGCAUCCCACCUGGGGAGUACGCCGGCAACGGUGAAACUCAAAGGAAUUGACGGGGGCCCGCACAAGCGGAGGAACAUGUGGUUUAAUUCGAUGAUACGCGAGGAACCUUACCCGGGCUCAAACGGGGGGCGCGGGCGGCAGAGACGCCGCCGUCCUUAUGGACGUCCCCCGAGGUGCUGCAUGGUUGUCGUCAGCUCGUGCCGUGAGGUGUCGGAUUAAGUUCCAUAACGAGCGCAACCCCCGCGCGCAGUUGCUAACGGGUCAGGCCGAGGACUC